AUCAGAGGGUUCAGGCUGUUAUCUCUGGAUAUUAAUACACACUGUAGGGUCCCACACCUCCUCCAUUCUCUCCUUCUCCUUCUCUCUCUCCCUCUCUCUCUCUCUCUCUCUCCUAUUGUCACGUUUCUGUUGAUCAGUGGAAAAUACUUCUAACUGAAGUCAGUUCUUCUCUCCAUCUGUCAGACCAGAGCAACCAUGUCAGACAAUGAAGAGGUUGAAGAGUUUGA
rnacentral:lncRNA from 13 species